CUAUACAACACUGAAACACCGGUUCUCGUACGAUCAUCGAAGUUAAACAACGUGAAGCCUGGUCAGUACCCAGAUAAGUGACCGCUUGGAAAUACCAGGUGUUGUAAG